rnacentral:rRNA from 1 species
AUGAUUGUGCAAAAUGCUCUGCGAUGCGUGAAAGUUGCCUUGGAGGGCAAGGCUCCUGAGCUCAAUGGGCACCGUGCCAAUCCCAACUACGUGAACUCAUCUGGGUACUUUCCCCUACACGUAGCUGCUGCAAUGUUCUCCGCCAACAUGAUCAAGUUGCUCUUCCGCUAUGGCGCAUCGGCCAAUUUGCGCACGACUGGCCCUGAAGUCACCGUGGGCCUACUCCCACUACAUGUGGCUGUCGAGAACGCUUGCCGCCAUAAGUUUCUUGAGGAAAACUUGUUACCUGACAAAGAGAAUACCGACUACGUCUUCAGGCUCAUUCAACUGCUUUGCUUACCUGAAAUGAUCUUCUUGGAUACAGUCAGACUGAUUGCAGAAAGAACAGAUGAUCUACUUGCUGAGCUCUCGAAAUACAUAAAGGAUGGAAAGCUUGCCGAAACAGCUGUUUUGCUCCGGGCAGCUCAAAAGAAGAUCCGCACGGGAUCUUAUUUCAAGGAAAAUGGCAAUAGCAAGACAGAUGGGUUUAGUAUUAUCUCUCAUGUUGGUACAGAGGAUGCUGUUGCCAUAGAUUCACAGAUUACUCAAAACAGAGUUAGAAAGAAGCACCAGCUGAAGGUGGACAAAAAGCUUAGGCGUAUGGCAUUGCUGCUUGUCAUUGUAAUUUGCGAAGCUGGCGAA